CAGAUUCUCCAGCUCAUUUCCUCACCUGAGGCUUGGAGCGGCUGCGAUGCAGCGGAGCAACACAAGCGCCGCCAGGAGAAACACAGGCACUCUCAGGGUUGGGUGGAAAAGGGAGGGACUCUCAUACGUUCAGCCACAUUUGUUUUCGGACAGCCGCAUACAGAGGAAUUGCUGCACGUCAUCAUCAUCACCACCUCCUUCGUCACCAUUGUCAUCAGUCGCCGUGUUGGGACUGACCCGCCGCAAACUCAACAGAGAGCAGAACUCUGUCAAAGUGCUGUUUGCCUUGUGAGACGCCUCAUGAAGAACAGGUCGCCAAACUUGAGACCCUGAGGGACUCCAAGGCGAUUAAUAAUAGAUUUGAAGAAGAAUUGCAUUUAAUAAUGAAUAGCCGCUUAUCAGUUUAGCGUGAUUUGUCAUUCACUACAGAUUCAUUCGUAACGUAAUGAUGAAGUGUAAAAAAAAUAACAUAAAAUACUGCAUGUAUGUUAAAACCAA